CCUCGGCCUCUUCUGUUUACCUUCACAGGUGUCUGUCGUUGACUGGAGGGCGGGGCACGCACACCUGCAAGUGGUUCAGCAGCACCGGCCCUGCACUAUUUGAGCAGCGCUCAGACAGCGGGAGGACGCCAGAGUGUUACCAUUGCGGUUCUCUCUCGUGAAUCAUCUCCUCCUCUCGUGGCGGAUCCUUCCAGGUCCUCUCAGGAGUAUCGAGGUUGGUCACCCAGUCUGUGGGUCCCUGGCCUCCCGUUUCUCCCUGGUUCCUCCCGCUGGUUCAGAUUUCCGGAGGCUGCUCGGACAACUCCUCAUUCCCCCGCUCUCUGGUCACGCCACGCCUGUCACAUCACCAUCAGGCAGCGCCGAGUUCUCACUGCUCCCUCCCGGUCCGGUGUCCGCGCUCUGUGACGAGACCGGUUUCCUGGCAGCGCUCCAUUUCCUGUGUUUUU